rnacentral:rRNA from 1 species
UACGGAGGGUGCAAGCGUUAUUCGGAAUUACUGGGCGUAAAGCGUGCGUAGGCGGUUCGUUAAGUCUGUUGUGAAAGCCCCGGGCUCAACCUGGGAAUGGCAAUGGAUACUGGCGAGCUAGAGUGUGGCAGAGGAUGGUGGAAUUCCCGGUGUAGCGGUGAAAUGCGUAGAGAUCGGGAGGAACAUCAGUGGCGAAGGCGGCCAUCUGGGACAACACUGACGCUGAGGCACGAAAGCGUGGGGAGCAAACAGG